UGGGGGAUAUUGCACAAUGGGCGAAAGCCUGAUGCAGCGACGCCGCGUGGGGGAUGAAGGCCUGCGGGUUGUAAACUUCUUUUGCUCUGAACAAGGCAUGCUAAUGGGUGUGUUGAGUGUAGGGGUUGAUUAGCGCCGGCUAACUACGUGCCAGCAGCCGCGGUAAUACGUAGGGCGCGAGCGUUGUCCGGAAUUAUUGGGCGUAAAGGGCUUGUAGGUGGCUGGUUGCGUCUGUCGUGAAAGCUCAUGGCUUAACUGUGGGUUUGCGGUGGGUACGGGCUGGCUUGAGUGCAGUAGGGGAGGCUGGAAUUCCUGGUGUAGCGGUGGAAUGCGCAGAUAUCAGGAGGAAUACCGGUGGCGAAGGCGGGUCUCUGGGCUGUUACUGACACUGAGGAGCGAAAGCAUGGGGAGCGAACAGG
rnacentral:rRNA from 1 species